rnacentral:rRNA from 1 species
AACAAACGCUGGCGGCGUGCCUAACACAUGCAAGUCGUACGAGAAAGUCCGCUUCGGUGGAUAAGUAAAGUGGCGCACGGGUGAGUAACGCGUGGAUAAUCUACCCUUAAGUCGGGAAUAACUUAUCGAAAGGUGAAUUAAUACCUGAUAACACUGCAUAACUACUGUUGUGUAGUCAAAGAAGGCCUCUGCUUGCAAGCUUUCGCUGAAGGAUGAGUCCGCGUACCAUUAGCUAGUUGGUAGGGUAAUGGCCUACCAAGGUUAUGAUGGUUAGCUGGUCUGAGAGGAUGAUCAGCCACACUGGAACUGAAACACGGUCCAGACUCCUACGGGUGGCAG